rnacentral:rRNA from 1 species
AGAUCGAACUAUAGAGUUUGAUCCUGGCUCAGAUUGAACGCUGGCGGCAUGCCUUACACAUGCAAGUCGAACGGCAGCACGGGAGCAAUCCUGGUGGCGAGUGGCGAACGGGU